ensembl:lncRNA
CCACAGGCAGAGCAAACCUGGCCUUGGCCCUGAUGCAGCUGAGAUCACCAGUUAAUUGCCUCAUUUUCUGGGCUUUUCAGAAGCCCAUCCUUCAUCCUGCCUCCUCCAACAGUCUGCAACCUCUACAGCAAGGAGAGAAUUUCCACCUCCCAAAAGAUGGGAUGGAGCACCAAGGGGAUCCAGAUCAGUUCUACAACAGCCAGGACAGAUGCCCAUUCCAAAGCAAUUACUGCAUGGGAGAUGCAAAGUGGCUGGAAGAACCUGCUCAUUCUGGGUCUGUAAUGGAGCCUGUGAGGAGCUCAGCUUGCUGGGGUGCCAGCAGGUCAGUGCCUCUUCUGGAGCUCACUCCUCAUCGCACAGACACACCAAGAGCUCCAGGGAAAGCAGGAGCAGAGCACUGGGCUCAGGAUGGUGCCACAAUGCCACGGGUGAGUGUCCUUGCAAGCUGCCCAUGGAGAAAACCCAUCAGCCUGCACCAGCAGAGCCGUAUUUCAUCCGCACACAAAAACCUGGGCUUGUCCUGGGAGGCUGUGCAAGAAAUGAGGCUCCAUGGUUGGAGUGAAACUAACAAUAAACACUAUGGGAAUAAAUCACAGAAAUUCCAUUUUCUUCAUGGUGGAAAAAGCCCAUUCUUUAUUCACAUAACUCAUUUUUAUACAGUUUUACAAUUUCCAAUUGGUCAGUAGCUUUCUUGCCAAUUCUUGGUCAGUAACAAGUUGUUAUCCUGUAUUGAUUGGUCACUCAAACUAUUGGUGUGUACGUGCAGGAAAAGUUGUUUGUGAGAGACAGUUUUUAUUUUUCUAUCUAAGGGUGUAAAAACAGUUUAUACAGGUGCUGCUUGUUUUUCAUGCAGGAAUAGAUUGUUAUGUUAAUGAACUGCUCACACCAGGAUUGCUUUCACAUGGGAACCUGCAAAGUGCCAGCUUGACACGGCCAGCCACUGAAUUUAGGAGAGCAGGACCGAUUUUAUGAAGCCUUUCUUUAUGAUUUUUCUACCUCAUUGCAACAAAAUACCACAUUGCCUUCUGCCAAGAGAGUGGAGAGCAAGGGGAAGCCAGUGGCAGAGAGAGUGGGACAAGCACAGAACAGCAAAGGAUGUUUGUUGGCUCUUCACUGUGUCUCUUACCAACCCCACCACCAUCAAAAGAUUGUGACCAUGGAAUGAACUCACCUCUGGGACCCACUGGAUAUUUUUCAUUAGAAAUUUUUUUAAACAAGACAUGGCUUUUUUGUGCAAACAUUUAAGAAGUACUUGUUUUGAAUAUUUUUUUCUGAGCAAAAGAAAAGCAAAGAAAACCCAGUUUUUCCCCAAAAUGAGACACAAGAAAUUUCUGUUUUCACAGCUUUUGAAUGUUCUGAACUUUCUUAUUUUCCAAUAUGAAAUGUAUUUGGUUGUCCUUGGUGUCCCAGAUGUUCUGGGGGAACUUGGGCCCUUGCAGGGCUGGAGGAGUUUGGCUCCAGAGUGUUGGAGGUUGAAAAAACAUUUUUUUAAAAUGUUUUGGAAAACCAGUGUCCAGUUGAAACACGUGCACUCAUAUACAUCUGUUUAUUCAGUUUGAUUGUGAGAAGUUUAUUUCUAAAUUACCUUAUCACCAAUAUAAAGUGUUCCUAUCUACUCUGGAAGAGCAAGGGAAUUCAGAAUAAUGGAAAUAGCUCAUGAGAUGCAGAACCAGAAAGAAGAGGAAG